CAUUAUCAUCAUUGCCCAUGGGUAUCAAAUUGUAUCGGAAAGCGGAAUAAAUGGGAUUUCUUCAUGUUCCUUGUUUUAGAGGUGUCUGCCAUGGUGAUAACAGCUGCCGUAACCAUGAUAAGUAUCAAGACAAAUCCAACUGCUCCACAAUUUUUUGGUGCCUGGAUGAACCAUGCUGCUACUCAUCACCCGAGAAUAAGACUGCUUUGUUUCUACUUCUCUUCACAUCUGU